UUUCAUGGGUUAAUUAAAACUUGACACCUGUAUAAAAAUUGACAAGUCAGGAUACUAGCUCACUUAAAUUAAAAUUACAGAAAUGCGCUUGAAAAUUUUCAAACUCCCGCCCCUUUAACACGCUUUCACUUGUAAAAUCAAAAGAUUAUCUUCUCUUUCUUUCUCUGUUUCUCUCUAGCACAACUGCACACACCAGCCCCUUGCACCUCCAUGUACUCUCUCUCAACUCCAAAGCUUGACAUCCACUACUUAGUAUUGCUGCCGGAGAUAGAGAUACAUCGGCCUUUGUCUCGUUGGAAAACACCCAAAACUGUCUCUUCCUCUCAUUGUUUCCAAAUUCCAACCUCCAACGCCGAAAGUUUUCUCGCGCUUCCAACAACUGACGUUGCAAGAAGGCGAUGAAGAGACAAUACCAUAGAUUUAUGAAGCAAUUUUGAAGAGUUAAUUGAUAAGCAUGAUGAGGUUGACACAGAGUUAAUGGAAGAAAUUUGUUAUAAGACACAUCGGACUUCGGUUAAUAUUGAUGUUGAAGAAUUUGAGUUCAAUUUUGAUCAGUUUUGUGAUUGAUGAAUGUAUGUGUUUGAACAAUCUAAGCUAUAAUGUAUGUAGUUGUAGUGUGCAAUUUUAUUUUUA